GAUGAAAACGUAGUGAAAUGCGAUACGUAAUGUGAAUUGCAGAAUUCAGUGAAUCAUCGAGUCUUUGAACGCACAUUGCGCCCCCUGGUAUUCCGGGGGGCAUGCCUGUCCGAGCGUCAUUGCUGCCCUCAAGCACGGCUUGUGUGUUGGGCCUCCGUCCUCCUCCCGGGGGACGGGCCCGAAAGGCAGCGGCGGCACCGCGUCCGGUCCUCGAGCGUAUGGGGCUUCGUCACCCGCUCUUGUAGGCCCGGCCGGCGCUUGCCGACACAUCAAUCUUUUUUCCAGGUUGACCUCGGAUCAGGUAGGGAUACCCGCUGAACUUAAGCAUAUCAAUAAGCGGAGGA
rnacentral:misc_RNA from 1 species